rfam:Felis catus isolate Cinnamon breed Abyssinian chromosome B3, whole genome shotgun sequence.
GCCUGGGUGGCUCAGUCGGUUGGGCGUCUGACUUCGGCUCAGGUCAUGAUCUCACGGGUUGUGAGUUCGAGCCCCGCGUCGGGCU